UGGCAAUGAUUUGACAGUUAUCCGCGCUUCUGAUCUAACCCGUGAAGCAAAUGGAAAAAUAAUGGUUGAAUUUCUUAAUAUGAGCCG
rnacentral:snoRNA from 2 species